rnacentral:rRNA from 1 species
CUCAGGAUGAACGCUAGCGACAGGCUUAACACAUGCAAGUCGAGGGGCAGCACAGGUAGCAAUACCGGGUGGCGACCGGCGCACGGGUGAGUAACGCGUAUGCAACUUGCCUAUCAGAGGGGGAUAACCCGGCGAAAGUCGGACUAAUACCGCAUGAAGCAGGGGCCCCGCAUGGGGAUAUUUGCUAAAGAUUCAUCGCUGAUAGAUAGGCAUGCGUUCCAUUAGGCAGUUGGCGGGGUAACGGCCCACCAAACCGACGAUGGAUAGGGGUUCUGAGAGGAAGGUCCCCCACAUUGGUACUGAGACACGGACCAAACUCCUACGGGAGGCAGCAGUGAGGAAUAUUGGUCAAUGGGCGUAAGCCUGAACCAGCCAAGUCGCGUGAGGGAUGAAGGUUCUAUGGAUCGUAAACCUCUUUUAUAAGGGAAUAAAGUGCGGGACGUGUCCCGUUUUGUAUGUACCUUAUGAAUAAGGAUCGGCUAACUCCGUGCCAGCAGCCGCGGUAAUACGGAGGAUCCGAGCGUUAUCCGGAUUUAUUGGGUUUAAAGGGUGCGUAGGCGGCCUUUUAAGUCAGCGGUGAAAGUCUGUGGCUCAACCAUAGAAUUGCCGUUGAAACUGGGGGGCUUGAGUAUGUUUGAGGCAGGCGGAAUGCGUGGUGUAGCGGUGAAAUGCAUAGAUAUCACGCAGAACCCCGAUUGCGAAGGCAGCCUGCCAAGCCAUUACUGACGCUGAUGCACGAAAGCGUGGGGAUCAAACAGGAUUAGAUACCCUGGUAGUCCACGCAGUAAACGAUGAUCACUAGCUGUUUGCGAUACACUGUAAGCGGCACAGCGAAAGCGUUAAGUGAUCCACCUGGGGAGUACGCCGGCAACGGUGAAACUCAAAGGAAUUGACGGGGGCCCGCACAAGCGGAGGAACAUGUGGUUUAAUUCGAUGAUACGCGGGGAACCUUACCCGGGUUUGAACGCAUUCGGACCGAGGUGGAAACACCUUUUCUAGCAAUAGCCGUUUGCGAGGUGCUGCAUGGUUGUCGUCAGCUCGUGCCGUGAGGUGUCGGCUUAAGUGCCAUAACGAGCGCAACCCUUGCCACUAGUUACUAACAGGUAAAGCUGAGGACUCUGGUGGGACUGCCAGCGUAAGCUGCGAGGAAGGCGGGGAUGACGUCAAAUCAGCACGGCCCUUACAUCCGGGGUGACACACGUGUUACAAUGGCGUGGACAAAGGGAAGCCACCUGGCGACAGGGAGCGAAUCCCCAAACCACGUCUCAGUUCGGAUCGGAGUCUGCAACCCGACUCCGUGAAGCUGGAUUCGCUAGUAAUCGCGCAUCAGCCAUGGCGCGGUGAAUACGUUCCCGGGCCUUGUACACACCGCCCGUCAAGCCAUGGGAGCCGGGGGUACCUGAAGUCCGUAACCGCGAGGAUCGGCCUAGGGUAAAACUGGUGACU